UACAGAGGUGCCAAGCGUUAGGCGGAAUCACUGGGCUUAAAGCGCGUGUAGGUGGAUGGGUAAGUAUCUUGUGAAAUCCCACGGCUCAACCGUGGAACUGCUGGAUAUACUGCUUGUCUUGAGGCACUUAGGGGCAGCUGGAACAAAUGGUGGAGCGGUGAAAUGCGUAGAUAUCGUUUGGAACGCCAAUGGUGAAAACAACUUGCUGGGGGUGUGCUGACGCUGAGACACGAAAGCCAGGGGAGCAAACGGG
rnacentral:rRNA from 1 species